rnacentral:lncRNA from 1 species
CUUCUGAAACCAGAGCAUCCUGUUGUUUGUGGCACUGCCUACCCUCUGGAGAUUCAGGACUUGCUUUAAUUCUAUGACUUGGUCUCCACAUUUACAGACUUGCUAAUAAUGAUGCACGCUUUGCAGAGAAUAUGGAACACUGACUGCCUUUGGUCUGCCAAUUUAUUUCCUGGGCUGUUUGGAGUCAAUCACAAUCUCUCUUAGAGCACUGACUCUUCACUCUCUUUACUUAGAAUGGGAUGCGCAGAUGGUUUGGUAGAUCUGGGUGGUCUCUCCUUACCUUUCUGCAUUCUUCUAGACUAGAUUGUGUUUGAGACCUUUUCUAGAACAUACCUUCCCUGCAAAAGUAGACAGCCAAGUGGAUCGCAGCACUCCAAAGAGACAGGCUGCAGCCAUUGAUCUUAGGCUCCUUUCCUUGCCUCUUCAGUAGUUCUCCCAGGGCAUAUCUCUAUGCUGAGACAGGUUGAAUUUCAACCUAGGCUACUGUUGCAUAUGAGGUGGGUUUAGGUUCUGGCUAUACUCUUGGGUCCCAAUAGGCAAGUUCCUUCUUGUCUUCGAGUUAGAUGACCCACUCCUACUACGGUUUUGUUUUUUAGAGUCCUCCAGUUUCUCUCUGGAGAAGUUUAGAAAAGAGAAGGGUUUGGGGGACCUGUUUCUAUCAAAGGAUCUCAGCUACCUUGGAGGGAGUGAUAUGUGUAUGAGGAUCCCCCAGGUGAGAUGUAUCUAAUGCCAGAUGGAGCUCCUUUGUGAUUCUGUUCCCUAGACUUAUCUCCUCCCCCCUUAUCUUUCCUUUUUCUAUUCCUCCUUUUAUUCUUCCUCCUCUUCUUCUUCCUUCUCCUUCUUUUUCUUCUUUUC